UCAAUUAUCGUCAAGGGCAAUCUUUAUCAAAUAAUACGCCUAGAGAUAUGAGGAGUUAUAAAAUCAAGAGGGUUAAUGUUUCCUUAAAAGGAAUAAGCACUGACAGCGAAACUACUGGACCCAAUCAACUUUACGCAGUUUCCAAGAAACGGAGAUUUGAUAAGAGUAGACUCACCCCAGACGCGCAUCAACUAGCCCACGGAGGGGAC
rnacentral:lncRNA from 1 species